rnacentral:rRNA from 1 species
GGUUAAAAAGCUCGUAGUUGGAUCUUGGAAUGUGUUCAAGCGGGUCAGCUUCUGGCUGUGCGCUGCUUGACGUGUUCUUCUAUUUGGUUUUGGUGCGGUGCGCUUAACUGCGUGUCGCUCCCGGCCGAAACGUUUACCUUGAAAAAAUUAGAGUGUUCAAAGCAGACCUGUUUGAGUCUGAAUAUUCGUGCAUGGAAUAAUGAAAUAUGAAUUCGGUUCUAUUUUGUUGGUUUUCGGAACUCGAGUUAAUGAUCAAGAGGGACAGACGGGGGCAUUCGUACUCUGCCGUUAGAGGUGAAAUUCUUGGAUCGGCGGAAGACGCGCAACUGCGAAAGCAUUUGCCAAGAAUGUUUUCUUUAAUCAAGAACGAUAGUCGGAGGUUCGAAGACGAUCAGAUACCGUCCUAGUUUCGACUGUAAACUAUGCCAGCUAACGAUCAGACAGAGUUCUCUACGACUUGUCUGGCAGUUUCCGGGAAACCAAAGCGUUUGGGUUCCGGGGGAAGUAUGGUUGCAAAGCUGAAACUUAAAGGAAUUGACGGAAGGGCACCACCAGGAGUGGAGCCUGCGGCUUAAUUUGACUCAACACGGGGAAACUCACCCGGCCCGGACACAGUGAGGAUUGACAGAUUGAGAGUUCUUUCUUGAUUCUGUGGGUGGUGGUGCAUGGCCG